GACGAACGCUGGCGGCGUGCUUAACACAUGCAAGUCGAACGGAAACGCCCUGCUUUUGUGGUGUGCUCGAGUGGCGAACGGGUGAGUAACACGUGAGUAACCUGCCCUUGACUUUGGGAUAACUUCAUGAAACUGGGGCUCAUACCGGAUAGGAGCUCCUGCUGCAUGGUGGGUGUUGGAAAGUUUCGGCGGUUGGGGAUGGACUCGCGUCUUAUCAGCUUGUUGGUGGGGUAUUGGCUUACGAAGGCUUUGACGGGUAGCCGGCCUGAGCGGGUGACCGGCCACAUAGGGACUGAGAGACGGACCAGAAGCCUACGGGAGGCAGUAGUGGGGAAUAUUGCACAGUGGGCGGAAGCCUGAUGAAGAAACGCCGCGUGCGGGAUGACGGCCUGUGGGUUAUAAACAGCUGUCGCCUGUGACGAAGCGUGAGUGACGGUAAUGGGUAAAGAAGCAACGGCUAACUACGUG
rnacentral:rRNA from 1 species